rnacentral:rRNA from 1 species
UAAUUGAAGAGUUUGAUCAUGGCUCAGAUUGAACGCUGGCGGCAGGCCUAACACAUGCAAGUCGAGCGGUAACAGGGGAAGCUUGCUUCUCGCUGACGAGCGGCGGACGGGUGAGUAAUGUAUGGGGAUCUGCCCGAUAGAGGGGGAUAACUACUGGAAACGGUAGCUAAUACCGCAUAAUCUCUCAGGAGCAAAGCAGGGGAACUUCGGUCCUUGCGCUAUCGGAUGAACCCAUAUGGGAUUAGCUAGUUGGUGAGGUAAUGGCUCACCAAGGCGACGAUCCCUAGCUGGUCUGAGAGGAUGAUCAGCCACACUGGGACUGAGACACGGCCCAGACUCCUACGGGAGGCAGCAGUGGGGAAUAUUGCACAAUGGGCGCAAGCCUGAUGCAGCCAUGCCGCGUGUAUGAAGAAGGCCCUAGGGUUGUAAAGUACUUUCAGUCGGGAGGAAGGCGUUGAUGCUAAUAUCAUCA